GCAGCGCGGGGGCAACCCUGGCGGCGAGCGGCGAACGGGUGAGUAACACAUCGGAACGUACCCCGUCGUGGGGGAUAACGAGUCGAAAGAUUCGCUAAUACCGCAUACGACCUGAGGGUGAAAGCGGGGGACCUGCGAGGGCCUCGCGCGAUGGGAGCGGCCGAUGUCCGAUUAGCUAGUUGGUGGGGUAAGAGCCUACCAAGGCGACGAUCGGUAGCUGGUCUGAGAGGAUGAUCAGCCACACUGUGACUGAGACACGGCCCAGACUCCUACGGGAGGCAGCAGUGGGGAAUUUUGGACAAUGGGCGCAAGCCUGAUCCAGCCAUUCCGCGUGAGUGAAGAAGGCCUUCGGGUUGUAAAGCUCUUUCGGCCGGGAAGAAAUCGGGCAGGUGAAUAAUCUGCCUGGAUGACGGUACCGGAAGAAGAAGCACCGGCUAACUACGUGCCAGCAGCCGCGGUAAUACGUAGGGUGCGAGCGUUAAUCGGAAUUACUGGGCGUAAAGCGUGCGCAGGCGGCUUUGUAAGACAGGUGUGAAAUCCCCGGGCUUAACCUGGGAAUGGCGCUUGUGACUGCAAGGCUUGAGUUCGGCAGAGGGGGGUGGAAUUCCACGUGUAGCAGUGAAAUGCGUAGAGAUGUGGAGGAACACCGAUGGCGAAGGCAGCCCCCUGGGUCGCGACUGACGCUCAUGCACGAAAGCGUGGGGAGCAAACAGGAUUAGAUACCCUGGUAGUCCACGCCCUAAACGAUGUCGACUAGGUGUUGGGGAAGGAGACUUCUUUAGUACCGUAGCUAACGCGUGAAGUCGACCGCCUGGGGAGUACGGUCGCAAGAUUAAAACUCAAAGGAAUUGACGGGGACCCGCACAGGCGGUGGAUGAUGUGGAUUAAUUCGAUGCAACGCGAAAAACCUUACCUACCCUUGACAUGCCAGGAACCUUGCUGAGAGGUGAGGGUGCCCGAAAGGGAGCCUGGACACAGGUGCUGCAUGGCUGUCGUCAGCUCGUGUCGUGAGAUGUUGGGUUAAGUCCCGCAACGAGCGCAACCCUUGUCGCUAAUUGCCAUCAUUCAGUUGGGCACUUUAGCGAGACUGCCGGUGACAAACCGGAGGAAGGUGGGGAUGACGUCGAGUCCUCAUGGCCCUUAUGGGUAGGGCUUCACACGUCAUACAAUGGUCGGUACAGAGGGCUGCUAACCCGC
rnacentral:rRNA from 1 species